rnacentral:lncRNA from 1 species
GGCACUACGCCCUUUUCAAUUCCAUGGUACCCAUCAAUGGUAGAUGUUCACGCCAGUGCUGGCGCUACCCAUCAAUGUACAGCAGCUCGUCUCAAGAACUUCCCCUCGUCACCUUGGGUGGAGCACGGCAAACGGGAUGGAAUGCGGAAACGUGGGCCACCCUCGCUUGGCUUCUCAGAGAACGGGUUUGAUGUCAAUUUCUGUCAAAUGUUUCCCUCGUGUUGAAACAAUGGCAGCAAGAGCGCCACAGCGUCGUCAGCCAUUGAGGUCACGGACGCUGUGAAAGAAAGGGACGGAGGUGAGCCAUUUGACACUGUGUAUGGUGGAUGCGGCCCCGACUGCAUGCUGCAACUUCGACAUGGAGCUUCAGAUAGUCCUGAAGGUAAGAAACAGGAAGUAGGGCAACCGUGGUUCCUGCUAAGUGCUUAUUCCCUUUUGCCUCCAAUUCCCAAUUUGCCACAACAUCUUUCUCUACCUUACCCAACCCCUCUUUUUUUAAUGCUCAUGCU